rnacentral:lncRNA from 1 species
UGUUCCACUCCAUCAAAAUGGUUAUGUGAAAGACAAAAACCUCUUCAUCUUCACAAUCACCAUCAUGCCUGGGCUUCAUCGCUUACUCUGCACCAGAGAGGCUUGGAGCUUGCUGGGCAGACGAUCCACAGUCCUUUUUCAGAGUCAUCCUGAUUAUUUUUAUUUGAAGAAUUCAGUUGCUGAUACGUAAGUGGAAGCAUACCUGCUGUUAACUAAGGCUUUCCAAGAUCUGCAUGUUUGGAUGAGAGCUAAAAACAAGGUUAGAAGCAAGGGGAUGCCGAGUGCUGAUGCUGCAAGCUGAAAGACCACUGUGUUACUGCUGACACUGGUGAUUUUCUUUCCAAAGGUCUUCUGCAAUCCUGAGUUUUUUUCCCUGUAAUCCAUUGUACAUGACAUAACUCCUCUGCACUAGGCUGUUCACCUUUUUGCUGUAUGCUACUGGGCUAUAUAUAUGUGUAUCUCAGAGAGUGAAUGGAGUCUGUUGUGUCUCUCAGACCUGUUCUUCAAAGCUUGCUAUUUGAAAUGCCUAGACGUCACCAGGCCUGUAAACACACUCUUGCA